AGGUGUACCGGCAUUCCUACGUGGCGUCCUACAGCGUCUACAACAUCCACACGCGCUAUGACUCAAAGAAGGAAAUGGUGGAAAGUGCGGAUGGUGGUAAUGAAGAGGAUGAACAUGAUGAACAGGAUUAUUUGAUGUUGUGAGGUAUGGGAACUAGACCCUCCAGAGGUCGUCAACUCUGUGCUGCAGUACGCUGCCUGGGGAACUCAGGGUCAACAGCUG